rnacentral:rRNA from 1 species
GACGGAGGGUGCUAGCGUUGUUCGGAAUUACUGGGCGUAAAGGGCGCGUAGGCGGCCCUGUCAGUCGGGUGUGAAAGCCCGGGGCUCAACCCCGGAACGGCACCCGAGACGGCAGGGCUGGAGACCGGGAGAGGAGGGUGGAAUAGCCAGUGUAGAGGUGAAAUUCGUAGAUAUUGGCUGGAACACCAGUGGCGAAGGCGGCUAUCUGGACGGUUUCUGACACUAAGACUCGAAAGCGUGGGGAGCAAACAGG